UACGUAGGUGGCAAGCGUUGUCCGGAUUUACUGGGCGUAAAGAGCGCGCAGGCGGUCGUUCAAGUCGCGUGUGAAAGCCCCCCGGCUCAACUGGGGAGGGUCACGCGAUACUGAUCGACUCGAAGGCAGGAGAGGGAAGUGGAAUUCCCGGUGUAGUGGUGAAAUGCGUAGAUAUCAGGAGGAACACCAAUGGCGAAGGCAGCUCACUGGGACGGUAUGACGCUGGAGACGCGAAAGCGUGGGGAGCAAACAGG
rnacentral:rRNA from 1 species